AGAAAACUCGACGCAAAAGUACUAUGUCAAACUGAAAAUAGACAAAAAUGCAAUCGGAAACAUAACCGAGCUACUGAGACCUUUUGUGGACGACACCAACCUGAGCGUCGAUGAUUUGAAAAUGACGACAGAGUGUAAGGAGGACUCGGCAGGUGUAAAGUGUAGCUGCAAACCAAACCACAGGUGGAGUGACGACGUUUGUUGGUCUAACAAGACGUGUUGUGGCGACUCAGAAUGCACCUUCCCAACAAACUCAGAUCAAAUGUGUGUUUCUGUCCAUUCAGUUGCUGUUUCAGGGUCUCUCACUCUGGGACAAAAUCAUUCCAAUUGUCUGAGAGAGAGCACAUCUGAAGAAUACAAGAAAUGUAAUGACACAUUGUUCAUAGAGAUGAAGAGAGUGUACAGCACUAUCAGGGGAUUUGUCACCUUAACAAUCACAGGAUACAGGAUUGGAAGCAUCAUUGCAGAUUUUAAAAUGAACAUUGAUGACCGGGUCUAUUCAAAUGAUCUGAUUGAAACAACCCUAAAGCUGAGCGAAUUCCUGCCGGCGACGCUUAAUUUGGAGACUGCAGGUUUUGUCCGCUUGUACAUGCCGCUGACCCUCGUGUGUUACGAAAAGAGCGUCGUCCUCAGGUGCCAGUCAACGGAGGACCUGAACGUUACGCCAAAGUGGAAUCUGAAAAGACCGGACAGAAUAUUUGACAUAACCUCAGGCACAAUCGCAGAUGUGGCAAUAUUAGGAAAAAGGGAGACCAAUCUCACCAUCAGAGAAGUGUCUGAACUCUGGGAAGGAAACUACACAUGUACAUACGAACAACAGCGAUCUCUCGUCACCAUAGUGCACAAAGCCACCGGUAUCCUAGAUGUUUCCCUCCUGCCAAACAUCUACACUUCCACCCAGCCACCAUUUGUUCGCUGUGAAAGUGAAAGGACUGUUGUGAAAGUAACAGCUAAAUGUGAGAUAAGUAAAAGCAGUGAGCCUUAUGAGGUGACCUGGACAGGUGACGGCAUCUUGCAGAAACCAUUAUACAAGAAACUACAGUGCAUAUUUAAGAACAGAUGCAACCAAACCAGAAGUGGCAAAAUUACGAUCAAUUUCAUAAAUGUGGGUGAAAAGUUUUGUGAAGCUGAAGGUGACUGGUACGACACCAAAGCUGAUUUCACUGCAGAGUUAAAAUGCAAGCAUUCAGCUGGAGUGAGACUACGGUAUUGCAGCGAGGAUGGGGAAUGGGAAAAGGAGGACUCGAGAUGUGUGAUCACGGAACUUUACAGUGCUCUGCAGCAAGCAACAAUUGUUGACAUUGGACUUGGCUUUGAAGAUCAAAAUGUUGCAGAUGUGCUUUCCAUCUUUGAGAACACCACUAAUAACACAGAGAAUAUCAACACUUUCACCAACGUGAACGUAUCGGUCCACGUCCUCAGCACCUUGGAUGAUA
ensembl:lncRNA